rnacentral:rRNA from 1 species
UACGGAGGAUCCUAGUGUUAUCCGGAUUUAUUGGGUUUAAAGUGAGCGUAGGCGGGAGGUCAAGUCAGCUGUGAAAUGUAUCUGCUUAACGGGUACACUGCAGUUGAAACUGGUGGUCUUGAGUGAGAAUGAAGCAGCUGGAAUGUGUGGUGUAGCGGUGAAAUGCAUAGAUAUCACACAGAACACCGAUAGCGAAGGCAGGUUGCUAAUUCUCAACUGACGCUGAGGGACGAAAGCGUGGGGAGCAAA